rnacentral:rRNA from 1 species
CGUGAGCAACCUACCUCAGAGUGGGGGACAACAGUUGGAAACGACUGCUAAUACCGCAUAAGAUGGCAGGGUCGCAUGGCCUGGUCAUAAAAGGAGCAAUUCGCUCUGAGAUGGGCUCGCGUCUGAUUAGCUAGUUGGUGAGGUAACGGCCCACCAAGGCAACGACCAGUAGCCGGACUGAGAGGUUGAACGGCCACAUUGGGACUGAGACACGGCCCAG